GGAAGCUUAAAAAUGCCUGAUGAUGAAAUGUGAGUGCCUUUAUCUAAUAUUCCACCAAAUAUUCCGAAACUGUUCAUCCCAUCAACCUCAUACAUCCCAUUAAAAUAAUGAUGCUAUAUAACCCCUUCAAGCCGGAGGCAAGUGUUUAACAUCCGAGCAAAGUUCGAAAUCAUGAAAUCGUUGAUGUGAUCAUGUGAUUUCAAGGCUGGGAUCAGAUCAUAGGGAACUCCCUAAGAUGCUUGGCACACCCCAGUCUGAUUUUCCAUUCACACAAAGGAGGAUGCUGCAGAACGUCAUAUAAGGGCACGAUGAUAUCAGAAGACUAUCAAGGAAUUCUGGAGCGAAACAUACUGCCCAGUGUCAGAAAGCUGUGUCUUUGUCGCAGGGCAUGGGUUGUCCAGCAGGGUAAUGACCAGAAACAUACCUGAAAAAGCACCCAAGAAUGGAUG